rnacentral:tRNA from 1 species
GCCGGGGUGGCGGAAUUGGUAGACGCGUCGGAUUCAAAAUCCGGUGGGGUUAAACCCGUGAGAGUUCGAGUCUCUCUCCCGGCA